GAUGAACGCUAGCUACAGGCUUAACACAUGCAAGUCGAGGGGCAGCAUGGUCUUAGCUUGCUAAGGCCGAUGGCGACCGGCGCACGGGUGAGUAACACGUAUCCAACCUGCCGUCUACUCUUGGACAGCCUUCUGAAAGGAAGAUUAAUACAAGAUGGCAUCAUGAGUCCGCAUGUUCACAUGAUUAAAGGUAUUCCGGUAGACGAUGGGGAUGCGUUCCAUUAGAUAGUAGGCGGGGUAACGGCCCACCUAGUCUUCGAUGGAUAGGGGUUCUGAGAGGAAGGUCCCCCACAUUGGAACUGAGACACGGUCCAAACUCCUACGGGAGGCAGCAGUGAGGAAUAUUGGUCAAUGGGCGAGAGCCUGAACCAGCCAAGUAGCGUGAAGGAUGACUGCCCUAUGGGUUGUAAACUUCUUUUAUAAAGGAAUAAAGUCGGGUAUGCAUACCCGUUUGCAUGUACUUUAUGAAUAAGGAUCGGCUAACUCCGUGCCAGCAGCCGCGGUAAUACGGAGGAUCCGAGCGUUAUCCGGAUUUAUUGGGUUUAAAGGGAGCGUAGAUGGAUGUUUAAGUCAGUCGUGAAAGUUUGCGGCUCAACCGUAAAAUUGCAGUUGAUACUGGAUAUCUUGAGUGCAGUUGAGGCAGGCGGAAUUCGUGGUGUAGCGGUGAAAUGCUUAGAUAUCACGAAGAACUCCGAUUGCGAAGGCAGCCUGCUAAGCUGCAACUGACAUUGAGGCUCGAAAGUGUGGGUAUCAAACAGGAUUAGAUACCCUGGUAGUCCACACGGUAAACGAUGAAUACUCGCUGUUUGCGAUAUACGGCAAGCGGCCAAGCGAAAGCGUUAAGUAUUCCACCUGGGGAGUACGCCGGCAACGGUGAAACUCAAAGGAAUUGACGGGGGCCCGCACAAGCGGAGGAACAUGUGGUUUAAUUCGAUGAUACGCGAGGAACCUUACCCGGGCUUAAAUUGCAGAUGAAUUACGGUGAAAGCCGUAAGCCGCAAGGCAUCUGUGAAGGUGCUGCAUGGUUGUCGUCAGCUCGUGCCGUGAGGUGUCGGCUUAAGUGCCAUAACGAGCGCAACCCUUGUUGUCAGUUACUAACAGGUUCCGCUGAGGACUCUGACAAGACUGCCAUCGUAAGAUGUGAGGAAGGUGGGGAUGACGUCAAAUCAGCACGGCCCUUACGUCCGGGGCUACACACGUGUUACAAUGGGGGGUACAGAGGGCCGCUACCACGCGAGUGGAUGCCAAUCCCCAAAACCUCUCUCAGUUCGGACUGGAGUCUGCAACCCGACUCCACGAAGCUGGAUUCGCUAGUAAUCGCGCAUCAGCCACGGCGCGGUGAAUACGUUCCCGGGCCU
rnacentral:rRNA from 1 species